rnacentral:tRNA from 1 species
GCACAAGCUCAGUUGGUAGAGCACGACCUUGCCAAGGUCGGGGUCGCGAGUUCGAGUCUCGUUUCCCGCUCCA